CCGGGCAAAGGAAGCAUUGAAACCUGUUUAUGAGCUGGUUAUUUAAACAGGUGGGACAAAUAGUGAAACCAGUCUCGUUCUGU
rnacentral:ncRNA from 1 species